CUAUAAACUCCCUCAGGUAAAAGUCUUGCAAUGGUCUGUAUUUUGAGCUAAAAUUGACAGCUCUGAAGACCUUUUCUAGACAUUUUGAAAGGAUCGUGAAAUGUCUUGAAACGUCUUCAAAAGGUCUAGAAAUAGUCUAAAAAUGUGUGGAAUGUCUAGAAAAGUCUUGGUAUGUUCAAAAAGGUCUAGAAAGAUCUAGAAAAGGUCUAGUAAUGCUUGAAAUGUCUUUGAAUUGUCUAGAUCUGUAAAACAGGGCGAUCACACGCACGCGCAACAGCGAUUUUAUCCUAGCGUCAGUAGCUUGCAGAACAAAUGAGAUAGUUUUUUUUUCAAAUGUUUAAUCAAAGUAUUAAAAGGAUGAUAAAAAUCGAAAGUUAGUAAUCAUUAUGACAAUAAUAUAAAAUAAAACACAUAAUAUAUAUACAUACAAUUUAAUAUUUUGCUCUAGCUGCUAUAAUUUUAGCAUUAUAAUUUUAAACCUAUGCUGAUUAAAGUAAAAACUUAUUUUCAAUGAUUGUCUGCAUUGUCUACUGGCAACGAAAAUGUCUGACCUUCCCCGUAGAUUAACCUCUGUGUGGAUUCUUUUUACUGCGUCUAUAUACGCACUGCGUCUACGCCAUUGUUAGCCUUUUCUUCAUUUUUGUUUGCGCAGUUGUGCACUUGUUCGUGAACAUCUUGUUCAACUUUACACGGUCAAGUGGCGUGAACUUUCGCAGCGGAGAGCAAGUAGGUGGCUGUUGGCGAGG